UAGCUCUGGGUGAAAGUGCAGACAGAAGCUCAGGCUGCCUCAAACUAAUAAGAUCCCCAGCCUUUGGCUAUAACCAGGGGCCACAGAGAAGAGCUAAGGUGAGGGAGGGAGAGGAGGAGAUGGGGGAGGCCCGAGGGCCCCUGUGAGGCAGGUCAGAAGCCCUGGGCCAGAAAGGAGAGGCUGGGGCGAUGCAGCUGCUGACAGUCCGGUUGCUGUGUGUUCCUGGGCGGGGACACUGCUCCUCUCUCUGUGUGUGAGAGGAUGGGUGUGGUCCCCCGCUGAGUCCCCUGUGGCUCUGACAACCUAUAAGGUUAUCAGUAUAGCAAUCUCAGCUCACCGCAACCUCCGCCUCCUGGGUUCAAGCAAUUCUCCUGCCUCAGCCUCCCAAGUAGCUGGGAUUAUAGGCACACACCACCAUGCCUGGCUAAUUUUUGUAUUUUUGGUAGAGACAGGGUUUCACAACGUUAGCCAGGCUGGUCUUAAACUCCUGACCUAGGUGAUCCACCUGCCUCGGCCUCCCAAAGUGCUGGGAUUACAGGUGUGAGCCACCAUGCCUGGCCACUUAUCAGUAAUUUCAAUCCCCAUUACAGAUCUGUGACCCGGGGCCACGUGCUGGGAUCAGCUCUUUACACGAAGGAGCUCACUGACUCCCCUGGAUCCCCUUGCCAGGUCUCACCUCCCAUCAAGGAAGAUGUCCAGAUUGCUGUCUGACGUCUGGUCUCUGGACUGAAGGCCAUUUAGUGCAGAUCUCACAAAUGAUGGUGGGGCAAGGCAGGGGGUAUGCAUGAGUGGCAUGGGCAAGGUGUGAGUUGGGGGAUACAAAAGGGAGUGGUGGAGGCCGGGCACGGUGGCUCACACCUGUAAUCCCAGCACUUUGGGAGGCCAAGGCGGGCGAAUCACCUGAGGUCAGGAGUUCAGGGCCAGUCUGAUAGCCUGAGCAACAUGGAGAAACCCCGCCUCUAAUAAAAAAUACAAAAAUUAGUGAAGCCGACUUGACCAGCAGGUGGCUGUUGUGUGGCCUCUCAGGAGGACGCCCUCUCCCUUCCCCCAGUGGUUGCAAAAUACUUCAGAAAGAAAACCAAAGUUCUCUGUGGGUGCAGUCGGUUGUUUCAGAAGCUGACGGAGCCUGGUCUUUGUAUAACCCCAUCUUUCCCCUUUCUUUCUGUCAACUGUUUAUGGGAGGAUUCUCAAACUGUUCUGGAGAAUGUUUCUACCCUUUAGUUCUAGUGUUGGGUGACCUGUAAUUUUCAUGUUGGCUGGGGAUGCCAGGAGUUGGCAGAGGCUCCUUCCAGAGCCCCUGUGGACUGGAUUCUGCCACUUCCGUAAAAUCAUUUAAAAGUAGAGGGUGAGUCAGGUGCAGUAGCUCACAUCUGUAAUCCCAGCACCUUGAGAGGCCAAGGCAGGCAGAUCCCCUGAGGUCAGGAGUUCAAGAUCACCCUGGCCAACAUGGUGAGA
rnacentral:lncRNA from 1 species